rnacentral:lncRNA from 1 species
CAAAGACCUUCCUGUGCAUUUGUAAACAGCUGUUCCAUUGUGGCUGUAAACAGCUAGCUAGCUAAGCUAACUUAGUGUAGUUGUUUUUUUUACCAUUGUAUUCGUCGGUGGGAUGGUCCUUACUUCUGGGGGAAAUAAAAGUUUAUAGCUAGAUUUCCCAAAGAAUCAUUGCAGCGGGCUACAUUGCCUGCAUGGAUAGUAACGUUAGCAGCAGCAGGAGGUGGCGGCACCAGGAUGAUGUGUAGCACACGGAUACAGAGACCUGUGAAAGCUGAUAAACCCCGUCUGUGGAUGGUCCCAAAGAAAGUCCCAAGUUCUGGAGAGACUGAAGGACCCUGAAAAGAAAAGGAGAAAGAGAGAGAGAAAAGAAGGAGUCGGGGGUGCAGCCCUGGGAAGAAGAAUCACCUCUUAACAAGUGUUUACCCUCAUUCUGUUGCUGAGCUGUGGUGCAAUAACCUACCGUAGCAAAUGGAUGCCCCUGAUCCAGGAAGAAUGCUCAGAGGCUGGGGAGGUCAGGGGUCACUAACUCCGCCAUUGUCCCUGACAGGGCAAGCACACUCCAGCUUUCAAAGGCCUGUGCUGGGGGUGGAAAGAUAGGCCUGAAAACACUGGGUCGGGACCAGGGCCUUUGUGAUAGCUGGGGAAGAAAGAAUCAGUCCCAAAAGGUUAAAUGAAGAGCGAAAGGGCCCUUCUGUCCAAUUACUGAGGGGACAAAUGCUCCCGUGACCCGCUGAGGUCAGAGUUCAGCUCAGCAUUUGGCAGCGGCACACUCAGGCUCUUUGUGGGCCAGAUGAGAUGAACCUCCGCAGUGUUUAUCUAAGUGACUCCUCGGCCAAUAAUAAGGGUAUAAAUAAUUUUGGGGUCUGAAUGCUGCCACUUAACAGAAUUAAUUUAUAGACCUAGACUUGUUGGGUCAAACUCUUUAACAAACCCCUUCAGCUCGUGGAUGCACAUGAGGACGAUCCAUAGAGGAGCAUUCUAAAGCAUUUCUCUCUUAUGUUUUCUCCUCAAAAAGAGAAUGGGCUUGUUCUCAUCAGGGUUUCAAUACCAGACCAAAUCACUUAGCAUCGCAAGGACCACUCAGGACAGAGACACAGAAAUCCACUAGAGACUCUCUCUACAUCAGAUUUUCUCCCCAGUAAAGCUAUGGGGACAAAGUUAUUAUUUUUCUUUCAUCUGGGAUGGAGAAAUGGAAAAUGUAAUUCUUUCAAAGUCUCGCCUUGAUGAGUGACCCCAAUCUCUCCCUGCCCCCUCCACCUCCCAUCCCUCCCCGCCUUUGAGACCCGGACCUUCCCAAUCUUGUGCCCACCGCUGUCUUGGUCGGCACUUGUGGUGCUAAUACCUGCUCACACAAAGCCCCGGUGGAGUGGCGUGGUGAGUGGUGAGGCUUGGAUUAGACUGCCGGGGCUACUUCCCCCUGAGCCCAUGGGUCGCCAGGGAUUAACGCACUGAAUUAAUCAUCUAGUAGUUGUUAGGUUAACAAGCAAGGUGAAAUCAUAUUACUGGAUCCAUCCUGACUUCUGCCUCUAUUUCUUACCUCUUAACAUUCAACAGUCAAUUCUAAAUCUAUCUGGGAAUCUCUGGACUAGGGUGUUGAGUGGUGUAAAAUGUAAAAUGUGUCGGCCAUGGUGAUUACACCAGUGGGACCUAAAUGUUAUGCUUUAGAAAAGUUUUUUGAUUCAGAUUUCAGAUAGCUAUUUCAACCUUCCAGUGAAAUCUUUGAUUCAACCAGUCAGCAACUCAACUCGUUAGCCAGCUUUAGUUAGCAAAAAUGAUUUGCAGAAGCUUGUAGAGUAUCAAGGUUAGGGCUUGUGAGUCAAAGGUCAUGGAAGUUUUUAUAAGUGAGCGUUUGUAAUAAAAUUUUCCAAAAGGAAACAAGGCAAGGCAACAGCCUUGGAAAAAGGUAUUGUACCGAAACGUCAACUAAAAUAAAUGUGCAGUGG